UCUUUAUCAGCAGCAUGAAAACAGACUAAUACAGUUUCUACAUGCAUUUAUUUAACACUUAACUAAUUUUCUCACUUGGUCUUCAUGAAACAGGUGUCUUUGAAUUGAGGAGAGGAGAAAGAAGAGGAAUGAUUUUUUAAAAACCAUAAAACAGAGGUUACCCAGUGCCUUCAAGACUAAACUUUAUUAUAGUUUCCACAGCAAGUAGCUGGAGAAAGUGCAACCAAGGCUGCAAAGUGGACAGCCGUGCAGUGCGCAGGGUGCGGGAAGGCAGAGGGGUGGCCCCGUGGCCCCUCAGCCCAGGAGUCUCGAGCCAGUGGCUCUUGGGGCUGUGGGUUGAAAACAGGCCAGCAGCUUCUAGCACGUCCCUCGCGGUGUUCUUCACCUUCUCCCAAGAAUGCAUCCCUCGCAAUGCUCUCUCGUGUUCUCUUGAGGAUACGCGGCUUUUGGCCAUGGCAGCAGUCAGAGCUGUCAGCCCACACAAAAGAGGAAAGUCUGAGGCUUUAGUUUGAUGAACACAUUUAUAUGAUGGGACGAACAUCAGAGCCCGCAGCUCUCGGCCCUGCUGGUGGCAGAGGCUUUGUACUGUGUGACAAUGACCUGGAUAUGGAAGCAGAAGGGAGCUUCUAAGGACCGGAAGCUGAGAGUCUGUCUCCUGUCCCGGCCCGGACACUGGGGUUCAGGGAAGUGUGCUCUGCCCCCUGUGUGGAUGCCUGUGUCCUGUGUGUGGCUGGAGUAGGACUUGGCUUGUGGGUGAUCACAGAGACGGAGACUGAGAAGCAGAUCGAUCCUAGCUUUGCUACUGACAAAAAGCAUGGGAACCAGAGCCUCAGUGUCUGCAGGAGUUGCUGGCUGUUUCCUGAUGCAGUUGGAGCAGAAUGGGAUGUCCUGGGACAACAGAGAUGUUUACCCAUCUUGACUAGUGUGGUCAUCUGAAGAAUGGCCUCCAAAGACAUCCUGAGAACCUGGGAAUGUUGCAUGGAUGAAGGAAUUUGCAAAAGUGAUUAAGUUAAGGAGCUUGAAAUUUGUGGAUCAUGCUGGGUUACCCCAGUGAGCUCUAAAUGUAAUCACAUGUGUCUUUAUGAAAGGGAGGCAGAGGGAGAUUUGCAGACAGAUGAGGAGGAAGAUGAGAAAACAAUGGACACAAGAAAGAAAAGGUGAUGCAGUUCAGGGACCCAAGCCAAUAAAUGAGGUGACCUCCAGAUGCUGGAGAAGGGAAGGAAGCAGAUGGACUCUAGAGCCCCCAAAAGAAGCAGGGCUCUGCCAUCACCUUGAUUUUGUCCCAAUGAAACCCAUUGGUCAUUUAGCUGCCAGAACUGUGUAAGCAUAAAUGUGUGUUCGUUUAAGCCAUGAAAUUUGCAGUAAUUUGUUAAAGCUGCCAUGGGAAACUAACACAACUGGAGUGGUAGUUCCGUGAAUGCAUGCAUUCACCAAACCUUAACAUGUACUCUUCGGAUACUGGCAUGAUAGGUCCAUGAAUGCAUAUGUUCACCCACACACUAAUAUAUACCCUUCAAAUACUGGUAUGAUAGUUCUAUGAAUGCAUGUGUUCACCACACACUAACAUGUACCCUUCAGAUACGGGCAUGGUAGUGCCCUGAAUACACGUGUUCACCAAACCCCAACAUGUACCCUUCAGAUACUGGCAUGAUAGUUCCAUGAAUCCAUGUGUUCACCAAAUCCCAACAUGUACUCUUCAGAUAUGGACAUGGUAGUUCCAUGAAUACAUGUUUUCACCAAAAACCAACAUGUACCCUUCAGAUACUGGUAUGAUAGUUCCAUGAAUGCAUAUGUUCACCAAACUAAAAUAUGUACCUGAUAUGGUUUGGCUGUGUCCCCACCCAAAUCUCAUCUUGAAUUGUAGCUCCCAUAAUCCUCACAUGUUGUGGGAGGGUCCUGGUGGGAGGUAAUUGAAUCACAGGGGUGGAUUUUUCCUGUGCUGUUCUCAUGAUAGUAAGUCUCACCAGAUCCGAUGGUUUUAUAAAGGGCAGUUCCCCUGAACAUGCUCUCUUGCCUGCUGUAAUGUAAGACAUGCUUUUGCUCUUCCUUCACCUUCUUGCCAUGAUUGUGAGGCAUAGCCAGCCAUGUUGAACUGUAAGU
rnacentral:lncRNA from 1 species